rnacentral:rRNA from 1 species
GACGAACGCUGGCGGCGUGCCUAAUACAUGCAAGUCGAACGCUUUUUCUUUCACCGGAGCUUGCUCCACCGAAAGAAAAAGAGUGGCGAACGGGUGAGUAACACGUGGGUAACCUGCCCAUCAGAAGGGGAUAACACUUGGAAACAGGUGCUAAUACCGUAUAACACUAUUUUCCGCAUGGAAGAAAGUUGAAAGGCGCUUUUGCGUCACUGAUGGAUGGACCCGCGGUGCAUUAGCUAGUUGGUGAGGUAACGGCUCACCAAGGCAACGAUGCAAAGCCGACCUGAGAGGGUGAUCGGCCACACUGGGACUGAGACACGGCCAAGACUCCUACGGGAGGCAGCAGUAGGGAAUCUUCGGCAAUGGACGAAAGUCUGACCGAGCAACGCCGCGUGAGUGAAGAAGGUUUUCGGAUCGUAAAACUCUGUUGUUAGAGAAGAACAAGGAUGAGAGUAGAACGUUCAUCCCUUGACGGUAUCUAACCAGAAAGCCACGGCUAACUACGUGCCAGCAGCCGCCGCGG